CCGUCAGCCCCGUCUCCGUCUGAAGAGUGCUUCUGCCCUCAUUUGCCUCUCCCUGUGACCCCGGCCCCCUCAGACUCCGCUGCGUCGUCUCUCGGCCCCGUCCAGCCGUUCCUGACUGCUCUUCGCCGGAGUCCGCUUCCCAACCCCCUUUCGCCAGAGCCCGAGAGCUCCGUCGGCUCUGCGUCCUGGCGGUGGGGACUCCCCGCGGAGCGCUUGCGCGUGCCAGGCCACCCGGGACUACGUUUCCCAGCGGGCCGAGCGGCCGGCGCCGCGGCUGCGGUCAGGUGACCCGGUCGCCUGGCCGCAGUGAGUCAGGCUGGGAGGGCGGGGCCGCGCCGGCUGCUGCGGCUGGCACUUGGCCCUUUAAUCCCCUUCGUGGGCCCCUCAACCUGGAGCGGAUAAAUUCUUGGCGCUUCUCCGGGGGUUGUGCUCUUCCGUACUCGGAUCGCUUCUUAGGAGUAUCCUAACUGCCGGUGGGGAGAACUUCGCCCUAAACCUGGGGUUCCGAUCCAGGAACUGGAAGUUGACAGCUUGGCUGCCUGGCUCCUGCAUCUGCCUUCUCCACUCACCAUCUCAUUUCUUUCUCCAGGAUUGUCAGUGGCUUCGCCCCGAGGAGAGCUGACUGCCCUGGGCUGCUGCCUCCGGCAGAGCUGAGCCAAAAUGUCCCCGGAAUCUAAAAAGCUUUUCAACAUCAUUAUUUUAGGAGUUGCCUUUAUGUUUAUGUUCACUGCCUUUCAAACUUGUGGAAAUGUGGCGCAAACUGUCAUCAGGAGCUUAAAUAGGACAGAUUUUCACGGCAGUGGAUAUACCAGCAUGGCUAUUAUCUAUGGAGUGUUCUCUGCUUCAAAUUUGAUUACACCGUCAGUGGUUGCCAUUGUAGGACCUCAACUCUCUAUGUUUGCCAGUGGUUUAUUUUACAGCAUGUACAUUGCCGUUUUCAUCCAGCCUUUCCCGUGGUCCUUCUACACAGCCUCUGUUUUCAUUGGAAUUGCUGCUGCUGUGCUUUGGACAGCACAAGGAAACUGCCUGACAAUCAAUUCGGAUGAGCACAGCAUUGGGAGAAACAGUGGGAUUUUCUGGGCACUUCUGCAGUCUAGCUUGUUCUUUGGAAAUCUCUACAUAUAUUUUGCCUGGCAAGGGAAAACUCAGAUAUCAGAGAGUGACCGAAGAACAGUGUUUAUUGCCCUAACGGUGAUUAGCCUUGUGGGGACAGUUCUAUUCUUUCUCAUUCGGAAACCAGAUUCUGAAAAUGUCCUAGGAGAAGAUGAGUCUUCUGAUGACCAGGACAUGGAAGUCAACGAGUCUGCCCAGAACAAUCUGACAAAGGCAGUAGAUGCUUUUAGUAAGUAUUUUCUGUAUCUGAAAUGCAAGAACUGUUCAGGAACAACUCGGCAUUUGCCUUUCCCCUAUUCCCUGGUAACUUUGGAUUGAUGACACCCCAGGGUUUGCAUUUUUCCAGGUAUGCUGCUCUGAAAUAUAUUGAUCUUCCUUAUCAACAUCUCUCUAACAUGGGGGUUGUGAGGGAUGGAUGAUGGUAUGACUGCCCACCUGCCCAGGUGUGUGAGGGAAGUGGAAAGAGGCUGCAUAGCACUCAGGUUCUCCCUGAAGUUGAGAGUCUUCCUGGGAUUUUUGCAGGGUAAUUAAGAGCAGAUUGUGGCUGCGCGCAGUGACUCGCGCCUGUAAUCUCAGCACUUUGGGAGUCCAAGGCAGGCGGAUCACCUGAGGUCGGGAGUUCAAGACCAGCCUGGCCAACAUGGCGAAACCUCUUCUCUACUAAAAAUAUAAAAAAUUUGCCGGGCGUGGUGGCAUGCACCUGUAGUCCCAGCUACUCAGGAGGCUGAGGCAGGAGAAUUGCUUGAACCUGGGAGGUGGAGGUUGUAGUGAGCCGAGAUUGCCCCACUGCACUUCAGCCUGGGUGGCAGAGGGAGACUCCAUC
rnacentral:lncRNA from 1 species